CUUCUCUGCUUUCUUUUCAAUCGCUGCUACACAGCGUGAAUAAAUUGUGUCAUGACUCAGUGUCACUGCAGCGUUCGUGGUUUAAACGUCACAACUAAUUCAGAUCAAUUGAAAUGAAUUUAAAUAUUUUUUUUAUUUUGUUGCUUCUGGGUUUGAUUUCCUUUGUCAAAAGUGGAAUUGUAUCUCCCCUCGAAGGGGGUUACAAUCAAGUGGAUGUUCCCCUGAGACGUGUCAAAAGAUCUCAAAAUAUUGACAGCCCAUCAGAAACGGAUAAUGGCAGUAGCAGAAAACGAGAAAAGAAAUUCUUUCCAGUGUGGGAUGAUGCGAAUGGUGAAUAUACCGAACAAGAAAGUAAAAGCAAGGGAAACUAAUGGAACUUGGGAAAAUUCAUCAGCAUUUUAUAUUUCACUUUGAAAACUUAUCAUCUUUUUUGUUAUAAUUAAAUAAAUCUGUGCAUCCGUGAUGGUUAAAAAUUA